rnacentral:lncRNA from 1 species
GCGCGUCAAAGAUGGACACUUGCAAAACGAAAAUGCGCCAUAUUUACAACUUUUCUUCGAUAAAGGCAACAAGGCAUACAGAGUGCAAGAGGAAAUCUUUAUUUGAUUUUUGGAUGAAAAUCGAAUGAAAAAUCAGUGCACAACAGGUAAAAAGGGAACUAUUGUCUGAUCUUGUGGACACUAAAACUUUCUCAGGCAAGAAGAAGAGAUCUUCACUGUCUUUGGCAUCCUCAGGGUACAUGCUGGAGGGGCCGGAGUACCC